rnacentral:lncRNA from 14 species
CUUUAUCUUACAACUCACACAGGUUCUUGGUUGCGUAUCAGAAUUAUCUCUCCCCACUUUUAAUUAAGGAUUCCUCAAAGCCAGCCCAAGAUAUUAAAAAAGCAGCAAUUAGAUGUCAUUGUCCUUGGUAGUUCAUCAUCUUGUACUCUGACAGGAAGGAGCAGAUGCCGUGUGAAGAUCAUGCUGUCAUGGAUGUUGUGGAACAAUUUGGUUUUGAUGGAUGUCACUCCCUCACCGCUUCUCCAGGGAGACAACCUGAGACACUGCAGGGACCAGGGGGCCUCUUCUCAGUUGCUUCUUCAAUAUGGAUGUCUUGGCCCAAAGCAGGAGCCCUCCCACUGGAUGCUCUGUUUGCAGGAACAUUCUUCACCGUGGGUCAGAGGACCUUGCAUCAUGAGGACACCUUGUUUGUCAUUGCCACCACUGAUUCAGACAGCAUCACCCUUCCACUCUUCACCCACAGCAUCAGCAUCUGCUCCAGUGGCUGUGGCUUCUCAUGGGAGGCUUGAGUUCUUGAGUUCAUCAUCCAUUUCAAUGAGUUCCCAACAGCCAGUGUCUGGAAAGAAGAUAUCCAGCUUCAUCUUGACACAGGCAACCAACUCGGAGGCACCAUGAAGUAGGCGACUUCCAUUUUCUAAACCCAUCAUUUCUGAUAUUUUCAGUUGUGAGC